rnacentral:lncRNA from 1 species
CCCGCAUGAACAACGCUGUUGUUCUGUUUUUGAGAACCACUGAAAUGGCCAACGAGGUAGUUGAAAGUGGAGUAUCGAUCAAUGGUGUUUUCACAUCUGUCCUUCCACUUUCUACCCCGUCCAAAAGAGUAACCUUGUCGAACGUACCACCAUUCAUUAAAGAUGAGGUUUUAUUACAAACGCUUUCACGGCAUGGUAAAGUAGUGUCGCAGAUCAAGAAGAUUCCAAUUGCGAGUAAAUCUCCGCUUUUAAAACAUGUCAUGUCUUUUAGGCGUUUCGUGUACAUGGUUUUAAAAGAUAACAAAGAUGAAUUAGAUCUGACACUGAAUGUAAAGGCUGAUAACUUUAAUUAUGUUGUUUAUGCAACCACGAACUUUAUGAGAUGUUUUGGUUGCGGUCUAACUGGACAUCUCAUACGCGCUUGUCCCGAUAAACGAGGAAAUUCAGAUGAUGCUUCUGGACAGAGCGAAAACGUUGGUAGGCCUAGUGGUGAUGCAGGGGAGAAGCAGGCUGCCGAGACUGGUGAACCUUGUGCUGGUGAGACGGCAACCAUUUCACCUACUGUCGGUGAGACAGACGACGCAGAUGUUCCUCAGGAACAAGGAAAAAAUACGUCAGAUUCACUAAAUGAGAUGGCAAGUUCGGAGGGAAGUGUUGUGGACAAUGCCGAACGUGAAAGCGCAGAUGUUCUACAAGACAACAAUGUUACAUUAACUGACAAUAGUGAAGUCCAGACAGCAACGGAUGUAAAUCUAAUGGAAAUGGAUGCAAGAAUUUUUAAACUACCCCCAGAGAAGAGAAAACGCUCUCAUGUAAAUAAAAGUGCUAAAAAGAAACUCGUUGACUUAAGCUCGUCUGAUGCCGAGAGUGAGAGUGAUUUCUCAGACUGCAGCAUAACUUGCAGUUUGCAUCAGAGUGGGUAUACUAACCGCACUUACAGCAGUGAUGACGUUAAAACGUUUCUGAAGGAAACAAAGCAUGUGAGAAAUGUACGAAUUGAUGAUUAUUUCCCUGAUGUGGAACAGUUCAUUUCAAAGACGAGGUCAUUUAUGCAUGAGGGCUGUUUUACUGAACAGGAGGUCUACCGUUUGAAAAAAAUGCUGACCAAGCUUAAGGUUCUAUUGAGUAGCAAUGACAAAGCCUAAAUUAUUGUCUUCUGUGAUGGAAGUGUGUGUACAGCUCUUUUUAUUUUUAUUCUUUAUCAUGGG